GUCAUUUAAUCACUAAUUUCCCUCAAACCAUGCGUUUACUUAUAAUAAAUUUAACGAUUUAUUUAAGAGUAUAAAUAGCAGACUUGAUUCGCUAAUCAUGGAUAUGCUACAUUAGUAGCCGGUAGUCGAAGGAAAUAAAAAAACUACAAGAAUAAAAAAAACUUAAACCGUGGCGUGCAGGUGAAUUUGUUGAUGAUCAGUGCAUCAAGGGAAGGGGGAAACCAAUAGAACUGAAAAGACGUUGAAGAGUCUGUCUGGAGUUGAAGUGUACAACAAGCCGGGGCUGGUUUGCCUUCAGGGCGAUUGCCGAUAAAGAAUCGCGUAUGGUGGAGCGAUUAGGAAUCACUGUUGUUCUAACAAGCGGGAUGUGUGCUCGCGAAAAUUUGGGUUAAGCGUUGGGAAGUGCAUUGGGCAUGCGAAUUGUAUUGGGCCGACAAUUGGGGCAAGUUGAACAAUGUUAACUACGAUCGAGGGGCUAGCCGACGACAGAAAGACGAAGCGGAUGGUAUGAGCUCAGUCUGAUUUUACGUUAGCUGAAGAUGUUUAGAUUAGGUAGGGUUGUCUUUACAAAAUACAGAGUAAUUAAAUAUUUUAUGUUUUAUUGUAUAUUCGGUCUGUUGAUUGUUAGUAGCUUCCACGUUGAC